rnacentral:rRNA from 1 species
UACAGAGGGUGCGAGCGUUAAUCGGAAUUAUUGGGCGUAAAGGGCUCGUAGGCGGUUCGUCACGUCGGGAGUGAAAACUCGGAGCUCAACUCCGAGCCUGCUUCCGAUACGGGCAGACUAGAGGUAGGCAGGGGGAGAGCGGAACUCCUGGUGUAGCGGUGGAAUGCGCAGAUAUCAGGAAGAACACCGGUGGCGAAGGCGGCUCUCUGGGCCUUACCUGACGCUGAGGAGCGAAAGCGUGGGUAGCGAACAGG